rnacentral:lncRNA from 9 species
GGCAGAGGGUGGGAGGAGACGGGCUGGCCGAGGGGCAGAGAAAAGGCAGGAAGGAAGCUGAUAUAAAAAAAAAAAAAUCUAUCUUGAGAAACAAUUCCUCUCCAUCUUUAAACCUAUGAAACUCAAAAAAUAAAAUCUGCUCUUGAAAUCUAAUGAUUAGACAGGCAUAGAAUACCAGUUAUAGACAUUCUGGCUAAAAGGGGAGAAAAUUUAAAGGAAAAAAGAAGUCACUAGUUCAAAAUAUUUUCAAAAUUCAGCUGUUUAAACUUCCUUUGUAUUACAUAAAAUUAAUUAUUAUUAUAUAAAUAUUAUUUUAUUUAAUGAUGGGAUUAUAGUAUUUCUUUGUGUGUGUAAUAAAACUUGAAACAACCUUACAAUAAAUUUAAUUGCUUAAUCCUUACCUUCCUCCGAGUUAACCUGACAAGUAAACUUUGAUUGUUUUUUUCUAUAAGUAUUUUAGACAUUAAGUUGCCACAUAUUACAUGUUUAUUUUGGUUUAGCUGUGUGUUCCUGGGAUCAAUCUAGCACCAGCUUUCUUUACUGAUAUCUGACUAAAUAUUCUCAGAAUUGGAUACCUUUUUUUUUUUUUUUUUUUUUUUUUUGUCUUUUUAGGCCACAGGCUGGGGUCGAAUCGGAGCUGUUGCUGCUGGCCUACGCUAGAGCCACAGCAAGGCCAGAUCUAGCCAUGUCACGGCAACACCUGAUCCUUAAACCUACUGAGCAUGGCCAGGGAUUGAACCCUCAAUCUCAUGGUUCUAGUUGGAUUCGUUUCCUCUGUGCCACGACAGGAACUCCAGAAUUGGAUACCUUUAAUAUCUUCAUGGAAACUUCAUUUUGGCCUUUUGUCAAGGUCCUUAGGCAUUUGUCUACCUUGAGAGUUCCAGAAGCAACAACAUUGACAUUAACCCAUAUGGGGACCUUAGUUGAGGAGGAGGUGGCAGUACAGCAGUGGGAAGAGGACAGAUCUGUUAAUUUUUGCAUCUAUAGUUCUAUUUUUGGUAGUUUACUUAGAAAGUCACCUCCUAUCUGACUUUAUAAUGUCUUGUCCUAUUGUUUUAAUCACAGUACUAUUAAGACCUUAUUCUUAACUUUAUGUUUUUUUAAUUCAGUGAAUUUUAUGUUUAUAGUUGUAUAAUCACUAUCACAACCUAAUUUUAGAACAUUUCCAUCUGAAACUCCCAGUCCAUCUCUCCCCCUCAGUCUUUCCCCUUUAGUAAGCACAAGUUUUUCAAAGUCUGUGGAUCUGUUUCUUUUCUGCAAAUAGGUAUUUUUUUUUUUUUUUUGGUCUUUGCUAGGGCCGCACCCAUGGCAUGUGGAGGUUCCCAGGCUAGGGGUCUAAUUGGAGCUGUAGCCACCAGCCUAUGGCACAGCCACAGCGAUGAGGGAUCUGAGCCACAUCUGCAACCUACACCACAGCUCAUGGGAACGCCGGAUCCUUAACCCACUGAGUGAGGCCAGGGGCUGAAUCCUCAACUUCAUGGUUCCUAGUUGCAUUUGUUAACCACUGAGCCAUGACAGGAACUACUCAUUUUAGAUUCCACAUAUAAGUGUUUUAGCAUGUGAUGUUUGUCUCUCAUUGUCUGACUAACUUCACUUUAGCAUUAUAAUUUUUAGGCCCAUACAUGUUGCUAUAAAUGCCAUUAUUUCAUUCUUUUUUAUGGCUGAGUAAUAUGCCAUGGUAUAUAUGUAUCUCAUCUUCCUUAUCCACUCCUCUUUCGAUGGAAAUUUAGCUUUCUUCCAUUUCUUGGCUAUUGUGUACAGCACUACAAUGAACAUUGAGAUAUAUGUAUCUUUUUGAGUGAUGGUUUCCUCCAGAUAGAUGCCCAGGAGUGGGAUCAUAUGGUAGUUCUAUUUUUAGUUUUUUGAGGAACCCCCAUACUAUUUUCCAUAUUGGUUGUACCAUUUUACAUCCCUACAAACAGUGUAGGAGGGUUUCCUUUUCUCCACACCCUCUCCAGCAUUUUUUGUUUGUAGACUUUUUGAUGAUGGCCAUUCUGGCUGACCUCAUUGUAGUUUUGACUGAUAUUUCUAAAAUAAUUAGUGAUAUUGAGCACCAUUUCACGUUUUUUUUUUUUUUUUUUUUUGGUGGGGGGCAUCCCUAUACCUUCUUUGGAGAAAUGUCUGUUUAUAUCUGCCCAUUUUUUAAUUUUUUUUUUCAUAUUGAGAUGCAGGACAUGUUUUUAUAUUUUGGAGAUUAAUCCCUUGUGAGGCACUUCAUUUGCAAAUAUUUUCUCCCAUUCUGUGAGUUGUCUUUUUGUUGAGGGUUUCCUUUGCUGUGCAAAAACUUUUAAGUUUAUAUUUUAACUUUAUAUUUUAUUUCAUCAGGAAUUAAUUUUAUUAUAUACUGUCUACCAAUAUCAUUUAUUAAAAAUUCCAUUGGUUUGCUAACUGAUCUGAGAUACUUCCUAUAUCAUGCAUUUAAUACAUGUUCUUGGGCGUGUUUCUGAUUUUUAUAUGUUGUUAUACUGAUGCUUAUGUCAGUAUCAUACUGUUUUAAUUACUAUGUCUUUAGGAUAUAAGUUAAUAUUUUAUACAGCUACGCCCUCAAAUUAUCCUUCCGGUAAUGUUUUUGCAAUUCUCAUAUUUUUCUCCUGUUGUUCUCCAAAUUAACUUAUGUAUCAUUUUGCAAAAUUCUGAAGAAAAAUCCCUUUGGUGUUUUGGAUAGCUUAUACAAAUGUGUUGAUUAACUCUGGGAAAAAUGUAUCUCUUUAUGUUACUAGCUCCUUUAAUUCAGUACUGUAAUAAGAUGCUACACAUCAUAUUUGAGCCUUAAUUUACUAUCUUAUUAAAGCUUUUAAUUUUCUGUGUUUGUCAGUAUUGAAAUUAGUUAUCUUUCUCUCUGUAUGUCAUACUUUUCUUUGUUAUUUUGAAUAAUUUUUUUUCUUUCUGACAGAGUCUAAAUUUAAAUUGCUAUUGAGCUGUUAAUUCUUGAUUAUUUUUUGACUCUCUUUUACUCAUUAUAUAAUUGUUGUAAUAUUUCAGAUGAUUCAGGUGAUUAUUUUAGGCUUUCCAAGUAAAAAGUAUAUGAUAUAUAAGGGUAGUUCAGCAUUUGUCUCUUUGUUUUAAAUAACUGUAGCCAUAAAGCGUUCUUAUUUUAUGAAAAUUAAGUAGAAUAUUUGUGUUUAUUAAUAGAAGUGACUCCAGAGUUUCAUAAUUAAAAUUUUGUUUUUGGGGGGUUCUCAUUGCAGCUUAGCAGGUUAUAAACCCUAUUAGUAUCCAUGAGAAUGUGGGUUCAAUUCUUGGCCUUGCUUAGUGGGUUAAAGAUCCGGCAUUGCCUUGAGCUGUAGUGAAGGUCGCAGAUGCAGAUAGGAUCUGGUGUUGCUGUGGCUGUGGUAAAGGCUGACAGCUGGAGCCUGGAAUCAAUCCAUAGGCCAGGAACUUCCAUAUGCUGCAAGUGCAGCCCUCAAGAGCAAAAUACAUACACACAUACAUAAAUAUUAAAAAAAUAAAACUGUGUUUCUGUGUUAAGAUAGUUUUUUUAUCAUGUGAAAAUAAUAUUUUUUGAUUUCUGGUUUUAUAAUAGUUUUUAAAAGAAACAAGGAUUAAAUUUUAUUACCUUCCUCUGCAAAGACCACAUCGGUUUUCUCCUUCAGAGUAAUUACCCCUAAAUUCUUAGAAUAAAACCUCCUUGGUUAUUCUGCACAAAUAAUACACUGCUCAAUUUGAUUUGCUAAUGGUUUACAGUAGGGUUUUGUAACCUCAUGCAUAAGUGUGAUUGAUUUAUGUUCCUUGCUUUUGUGUAGUAUCUUGUUUGGUUUUUGGCAAGAAGAGUUUGAAAAUCCACUAAAUGUUUCAGGAAAAAUUCCACCCUUUCCUAUGAUCUGGAACACUUUAAAUAGUGUAGUAAAUUAUCAGAAUAUUAAGGUUUGACACAACUCUACUCAAAAAUAUGCACAUGUUUCCUGAUUGCAAAGUGUUUAUAAUCUAAUUGGUGUUGAAAUUACAUCUAGAGAUUAAAAAUGCUAUUUUACAAAAUUUUUAAAAUAUUUCCAAGAUGACUAACCAAGAUUAUAAUGGAAAGCACUUUAUUUGAAAGCCAGGACACCUUGUGUCCUGGUGUCAUCCUUGUCCAAGUUUUGUUAUUAUCCAUAGGAUCACUUUUCUGCCCUGGACUUGAAAUUUUAGAAAAUAAGGUAGAAUUGAUGACAUCUAAAGAUUUAGUUAUUACGUGGUACUAAGAAACAUUUGAUUUUUCUCAUUGUCUUAGUUAUGUUUUAUUAUUUGCAGUCCAUUUCAAAUUUUACAAAACUACGUUGCUAAGACUUUGAAAAAUAUUCUAGGUUACUGAGGAAUGAGUGUGUAGUGGCAUAAGAUACAAGUGGUAUGCUGGAUACUAUUGAAAUUUCUCUCCGUACAGAGGGUCAAAUGAAAAUGUGUGGGAUUCUCUGAGAGAAGGUACAUAUGCCCUGGGAUUACCCUGCAAAACAGUAACACUGAGCAGUUUUGUGCUCAUCCAGCUGACCUUUCACA